rnacentral:pre_miRNA from 1 species
GGAUAACACUGUUUUGCUAUCUCAGUCAAUAACACAAUGACAUGUAGAAAAGUUAUUUUACGUGUCAUUACGUUAUUGACCUGAAAUAGCAAAAAGUGAUAUUUCC